UAUACUGUGUGAUAUUUUGCAUUAAACUUCAUUUGAGCAUUUUGAGAAUGCUUUACUGAGAUGCAAUUUCACACCAAUACUAAUUUGUUUUACUCAUAAAUUAAUUGUCAUGCUGGAAACUUUCUUCAUAAAGAAAUGAGGAGAUAUGGUAUAAUAUCAAUGAGACAUCUAUUAAACAGAGAUCAAAGGACAAGACAAAGCAUUUUUUCCCCUGUAACUAUAUAUGAAUCAGAUCUUCCACAAAUUUAG
rnacentral:lncRNA from 1 species